AUUUACAGAAAACAUUUCCAACCUGUGCAUGGGGGAUCAUUCUUCCAUCACCUAGAAUAUGAGGCCUCUGAGAGGAUGAGAAUGAGGGAAAAAACUACAAAGAAAAUGAUAGCAAAUACUAGCAAAGAAAAUGGAACAAGACAGAGGAUCCCAGGUGGGAAUCCACGGAGCUUGGGAAAUCCAUUGCUUUUAUAGUAAGUGGUAGGCUAUCCUGCUCUUUGUCCUGGAGAUUUCUCGCUGCAAACACAACCCUGAGAAAUGGCCCAGGUAAAUAGUAGUGGGCAGGGACGCUCAGAACCCGCAGCAGAUUGCCUCUCCCCUUCCUUCUGCAAUGUCUCCAGCACCCUCUACCGACAAAAUUAGCACUGUGCAGGUUGGCGAAGGAGAAAAGGGCUCAUGUCCACGUUGACUGAGCAGGUAAUGAAGACUGGGAUUUGUAGAUCAGAAGCACUAAUU
rnacentral:lncRNA from 1 species